rnacentral:rRNA from 1 species
AACGAACGCUGGCGGCGUGCCUAACACAUGCAAGUCGAACGAGAAAGGGGCUUCGGCUCCGAGUAAAGUGGCGCACGGGUGAGUAACACGUAGGUAACCUGCCUCUAAGAUUGGGAUAACCUGUCGAAAGACGAGCUAAUACCGAAUAAGACCACAGCUUCCUCAGAAGCAGGGGUCAAAGGUAGCCUCUACUUGUAAGCUAUCACUUAGAGAUGGGCCUGCGUACCAUUAGCAGUUGGUGGGUAACGGCCUACCAAGGCGAAGAUGGUUAGCUGGUCUGAGAGGAUGAUCAGCCACACUGGAACUGAGACACGGUCCAGACUCCUACGGGAGGCAGCAGUGGGGAAUAUUGCGCAAUGGGCGAAAGCCUGACGCAGCAACGCCGCGUGAGUGAUGAAGGCUUUCGGGUCGUAAAGCUCUGUCGGA